UGGGGAAUAUUGGGCAAUGGGCGAAAGCCUGACCCAGCAACGCCGCGUGAGGGAAGAAGGGUUUCGGCUCGUAAACCUCUGUCCUAUGGGACGAAGGAAGUGACGGUACCAUAGGAGGAAGCCCCGGCUAACUACGUGCCAGCAGCCGCGGUAAUACGUAGGGGGCGAGCGUUGUCCGGAAUGAUUGGGCGUAAAGGGCGCGUAGGCGGCCUGCUAAGUCUGGAGUGAAAGUCCUGCUUUCAAGGUGGGAAUUGCUUUGGAUACUGGUGGGCUGGAGUGCAGGAGAGGAAAGCGGAAUUACCGGUGUAGCGGUGAAAUGCGUAGAGAUCGGUAGGAACACCAGUGGCGAAGGCGGCUUUCCUGGACUGAAACUGACGCUGAGGCGCGAAAGCGUGGGGAGCAAACAGGAUUAGAUACCC
rnacentral:rRNA from 1 species